GAUGAACGCUGGCGGCGUGCUUAACACAUGCAAGUCGAACGAGGUCCAACCUUCGGGUGAAGACCUAGUGGCGAACGGGUGAGUAACACGUGGGGAACCUGCCCUUCUCUCUGGGAUAACGUCGAGAAAUCGGUGCUAAUACCGGAUACUCCUUGCGGAUCGCAUGGUCUGCUCGGGAAAGCUCCGGCGGAGAUGGAUGGCCCCGCGGCCCAUUAGCUAGUUGGUGAGGUAACGGCCCACCAAGGCGACGAUGGGUAGCCGAGCUGAGAGGCUGAUCGGCCAAACUGGGAGUGAGACACGGCCCAGACUCCUACGGGAGGCAGCAGUGGGGAACAUUGCACAAUGGGGGAAACCCUGAUGCAGCAACGCCGCGUGAGUGAUGACGGUCUUCGGAUUGUAAACUUCUUUAGUCGGGGACGAAAAAAAUGACGGUACCCGAAGAAUAAGCCACGGCUAACUACGUGCCAGCAGCCGCCGUAACAC
rnacentral:rRNA from 1 species